rnacentral:rRNA from 1 species
GGUUGACCUCGGAUCAGGUAGGGUUACCCGCUGAACUUAAGCAUAUCAA